rnacentral:rRNA from 1 species
CAAUAGCGUAUAUUUAAGUUGUUGCAGUUAAAAAGCUCGUAGUUGGAUUUCGGGUGGGACGCAGCGGUCUCGCAUUGCGUUUGUACUGCUGCAGCCCUCCUUCUUGGCGGGGGCGGCCUCUCGGACUUCACUGUCUGGGGGUCAGAAUCGGCGAUGUUACUUUGAGUAAAUUAGAGUGUUCAAAGCAAGCUUACGCUCUGAAUAUAAUAGCAUGGGAUAACACGACAGGACUCUGGCCUAUCGUGUUGGUCUAUAGGACCAGAGUAAUGAUUAAGAGGGACAGUCGGGGGCAUUCGUAUUCCGUUGUCAGAGGUGAAAUUCUUGGAUUUACGGAAGACGAACAUCUGCGAAAGCAUUUGCCAAGGAUGUUUUCAUUGA